CACUGGCAGACAAUGAUUUAUAUAUGAUCUUUUUAUAUAAUGAUAUUGAUAUUUUGUCUUUUUGAUAGGAUAAUGCAAAGGAAAAGUCUUCUUUGUUACGUUCGUGUGAAGAACCGCAAAGACAAGUCACCAUGACCUGCGCUUCUGGCACUAUGAAUUCAUCUCUCGUGCAUGCAAAACCACGACAAUCACACUUCAGUCCGACCUCUAGAUGGCAGUGUUACAUUUCAGGAUGACACACCAAUUCGGAUUUGGGUUACUAACGGCUCUAAUGAACUCCGUCUGGGCUGUAGGGAAGGGAAAGGACUGGCGAAUCGAUCCGGUUUGGGGCCGUGAGGAUGAGGAUCAAUGCUGUAGAGGAUCGUCCAGGCCUGCUUUCUUACCAUAUCAGCUUCAGAUAAGAGGAGAGAUCUGAACGAGCAGACGAGAGGACACAGUGCAGACGCAGCAUUUAAACACAGCCACGGGGAAAUGUGAAGAUAGGGGGCAGAGAACAAAGGAUAAGUGAAGAAUAAUGUACAAAGAAUGAAUGGGGAGUGAGAGAUGAGGAAAUAAGACAAGACGAUUCCCUUUUUCUCAUGUACCUCUGCAGCCUUGUGCUCUGUGUUCAGGGUAAACAUGUCCCCCGUCUGUGUGAUGUAUAGGACUGUCUGUUGUGUGAGUGUAAGUCAGACAGCACUUUACUGUUAACUCUCCACUCCCUCGCUAUUACGCCCUCACCGGAGCCCGAGUCCUGGCCCCUGAUGGUCCCUCGCUCUGUUUACUCCAUCGACCUCUGUUUACUGCCACAGAGAAGAGACAUUUGCCACUGUCACACCAGCUUUCC